rnacentral:RNase_P_RNA from 1 species
GGAGAGGGUUAAAUGUCUGCCUGGUAACAGGAGGAAAGUCCGAACACCGUAGGACAGGAUACUUUCUAACCGAAAGUCCCGGCAACGGGGAGAUAGCUCCACAGAAACAAACCGCCGAUUCGCUUAGGCUUUUCGGUAAGGGUGAAAUGGUGGUGUAAGAGACCACCGGGUAUUCUGGUGACAGAGUAUGACGGGAAAGCCUUAUCCGGUGCAAUGCCAAAUAGGGGAGAAAUUUGUUUUACAGGUGCGUGGCGGUUCGUUGCGUUAAACUCUCGGGUAGGCAGCUUAAAUCGGUCCCUAAGAAGGAGUUCUUAUGAACGCAGUAAUGUCCGAUGUAGAUGAAUAGACAUUAGCACUAUUUUUAGUAGUGAUACAGAAUUCGGCUUAGAACCUUCUCCUGAA